rnacentral:RNase_P_RNA from 1 species
CGAGUAUGCAGUCCGGUCGCUUGCGGGGCAUCUGCAAGAGGAAAGUCCGGGCACCAAAGGGCAGGAUGCCUGACAAUAUCAGGCGGACGCGAGUCCAGGGAAAGCGCAGCAGAAAAUAUACCGCCUUCGGGUAAGGUUGAAAUGGCGAGGUAAGAGCUCACCGGAGCGUCAGUAAUGGCGCUGCCUUGCAAGCCCCAUCCGGUGCAAGAUCAAAUAGGGGAAGUUGAGGCUGCCCGCCGAUUCCCGGGUAUGAUUGCUUGAGCCGCUUUGCGAAAAGCGGUCUAGAUAAAUGACCGGAGGAGUUUUCUCCCACAAAACCCGGCUUACGGCAUGCUCAUUAA